GAAGAGAAUUUUGUGACAUAUUUCACUGUUCUUAAGUAAUUUUUUUAUGGGAACACGGUCACACUCCUUAACUUCCUUAUCGUCUGGUGGCUGCUUCUGUGCUCUAUCGGGAAAGCUAAGUAGUUGGGACAGAGAUGACGCAGCCUUACAAAGCCUAAAAUAUUUAUCAUCUGGCCUUUACGGAAAAGAGUCCCCUCUUACCAUGUCUGGCUGGCGGCGACCCAGAUGCCACGUGAUGGUCAUUUGAAGACAGGCCUGUCGGAUAUCAGGAAUCCCAAGGUCCAGACGCCUGCCUUCAGGGACCUGGGCUUUCGGCUCUCAUACCUGGCCCUGGUUGAUGGCCCCGUGCUGAGCAGUGCAUGUGAAGACACACAUGGUAAGGAAAUGGCAGAGUUGCUUCUGGGACUGGAAGGAGAUGGGGAAACCUGCCAGAGAGGAACAGGAUUUAGGGGCUCCAGUACGAGAGGAGAGAAAUGCAGGUGGUCGUCUUGGGGGUGUCUACACUAGUCGCGCUCAAACUGCGUGGGUUCGUUUAGGUGUGGCUUUUUUAUAGUGGGUACAGACAUGUAUUUACUCCUUUGUAUGGUUUUCUUCAUGUUUUCU